ACAUCCAAGGAAGGCAGCAGGCGCGCAAAUUACCCAAUCCCGACUCGGGGAGGUAGUGACAAUAAAUACUGAUACGAGGCUCUUUUGGGCCUUGUAAUUGGAAUGAGUACAAUUUAAAUCUCUUAACGAGGAACAAUUGGAGGGCAAGUCUGGUGCCAGCAGCCGCGGUAAUUCCAGCUCCAAUAGCGUAUAUUAAAGUUGUUGUGGUUAAAAAGCUCGUAGUUGAACCUUGGGCCUGGCUGGCCGGUCCGCCUCACCGCGUGUACUGGUCCGGCCGGGCCUUUCCCUCUGUGGAACCUCAUGCCCUUCACUGGGUGUGACGGGGAAGCAGGACUUUUACUGUGAAAAAAUUAGAGUGCUCCAAGCAGGCCUAUGCUCGAAUACAUUAGCAUGGAAUAAUAAAAUAGGACGUGCGGUUCUAUUUUGUUGGUUUCUAGGACGCCGU
rnacentral:rRNA from 1 species